rnacentral:rRNA from 1 species
UUCAAACUUAAUAAUAAGCUUGUGGUGAAUACCUUGGUACUCAGAGACGAAGAAGGGCGUAAUUAAGUACGAAAAUGCUUUAAAUAAUUAUAAUAAAAUUUAAAGAUUCCCGAAUAAUUUAAUUUUUAAAACUGCUUUAAUAAGGUAAGAGAUAACCUGGAGAACUGAAACAUCUUAGUAUCCAGAGGAAAAGAAAACAAAAGUAAUUCCCUUAGUAGUGGUGAGCGAAAUGGGAAUAGUCUAAAUCAUUCUUAUUAAUUAAAAUGAAGUUGUAGGUACGUUAUUAUGUAAAAUUAAAUAUAAAUAAUAUUAUUAGAUAAAACAGAUAAAAAAUACUGUACCCUAGAUGGUUAAAGUCCAGUAGUCAAAAUAUAACUAUUUAUAAUUAUUACUUAAAUUAAUUAAUAAUUAACUUACCUAAGUAACAUGGAACAAGUUAAAUUCCGUGUGAAUCGACAAGAACCACCUUGUAAGACUAAAUACUCCUGAGUAACCGAUAGCGAACUAGUACCGUGAGGGAAAGGUAUAAUAUAACUUUUAAAAGAUAUAUUUAAAUGAAACCAAAAGCUGUCAAUUUGUAGGAGGAGAAUUAUUAUUAUCUCUGACUGCGUGCUUGUUGAAGAAGGAGCCAGCGACUCAUAAGUAAUGGCUUUGGUUAAGAAUAUUCGAAAUUGUAGCCACAGCGAAAGCAAGUCUAUAAGGGCAAUAAUAUAAUUAUAUUAUAUAUCAUGUCAUUACUUAUGUACCCGAAACUGGGUGAUCUAUCUAUGAUUAGGAUGAAAUUUAGCUAAACCUAGGUGGAGGUCCGAACCGACUGAUGUUGCAGAAUCAACGGAUGAAUUGUGGAUAGUGGUGAAAUGCCAAUCGAACCCAGAGCUAGCUGGUUCCCCCCGAAAUGUGUCGAAGCACAGCAGUUGAUUAUGAUGAUAACAGGGGUAAAGCACUGUUUAAAAUUUAAAUUUUAUACAAACUAAUAAUACUGUACACUUAUAAAUCAACUAGUGAGACAAUGAGGGAUAAGCUUCAUUGUCAAGAGGGAAACAGCCCAGAUCAUCAGUUAAGGCCCCUAAAUUUUUAUUAAGUGGACAAGGAUGUGAAAGUGCAUAGACAGUCAGAAGGUUUGCUUGGAAGCAGCUAUCCUUUAAAGAGUGCGUAAAAGCUCACUGAUAAAGCGUUUUUGUGCCGAAAAUACACGGGUCUAAUUAAUAUGCCGAAACUAUGAGAUUAAACAAAUCGGUAGGGGGGCGUUCUGCUUUAUUUAAAUAAAGUUAUGGCAGAAGUGAGAAUGUUGGCUUGAGUAACGAAAACAUAGGUGAGAAUCCUAUGCCCCGAAAAUCUAAGGAUUCUUUCGAAAUCUUUAUAUGCGGAAGUUUAGUCAGGACCUAAGAUAAGGCCGAAAGGUGUAGUUGAUGGAUUACAGGUUUAUAUUCCUGUACUAUUUAUUUAUUGUUAUUAUUAGGGACGAAGAAGGCUAGGUUAGCUGAAAAAUGGUUAUCAGUUUAAAGAUAUAAGCAAAGAUAAAGUAUUUUGUAAAGUCUGAAGUUUAUACUAUAAAAUUUAUAUUAUAUUGAUACUUAUAUUUAUAUAUUAAAUAUUAAAUUAUAUAUUAAAUUAGUAUAAAAAAAUUAGUAUAAAAGUUAUUAAUAUAACUGAUGUCAUACUUCCAGGAAAAGCUAAAAUGAUAAAAGUACAAAAAUAAAUAAAUACCUGUACCGUAAACCUACACAGGUAGAUGAGUAGAGAAUACUAAGGGGAUCGAGAUAACUCUCUCUAAGGAACUCGGCAAAAUAACCCUGUAACUUCGGGAGAAAGGGUGUCUUUAAAAAGGAUUGCAAUAAACAGGCCCAGACGACUGUUUAACAAAAACACAAGUCUCCGCAAAGUCGUAAGACCAUGUAUGGGGGCUGACGCCUGCCCGGUGCUGUAAGGUAAACGAAGUUGGUGACCUGAAAUCAGGGAGAGCUAGCAACUGAAGUCUCAGUAAACGGCGGCCGUAACUAUAACGGUCCUAAGGUAGCAAAAUUCCUUGUCGGGUAAGUUCCGACCUGCAUGAAAGGCGUAACGAUCUAGGCACUGUCUCGGAGAGAGACUCGGUGAAAUAAAAAUGUCUGUGAAGAUGCGGACUAUUCACACCAGGACAGAAAGACCCUAUGAAGCUUUACUGUUCCCUGUGAUUGAUGUUGGUCUUUUUUUGUAAAAUAUAGGUGGGAGGUAAGAUAUUGCAUUAAGCCAUCAGUGAAAUACCACCCUAAUUAAGCUUAACUUCUAACUUGUUUUUUUAGCAAGGACAGUCUUUGGUAGACAGUUUAUAUGGGGCGUAGGCCUCCAAAAAAGUAACGGAGGCGUACAAUAAAGGUUUUCUUAAAUCUAAUUUAUGAUUUUUAAAAGUACAAAGGCAAAAGAAAGCCUAACUGUGAGACAAACAAGUCAAGCAGGAACGAAAGUUGGUCUUAGUGAUCCGAUGGUAAACCAAGUGGUAGGGCCAUCGCUUAUCGGAUAAAAGUUACUCUAGGGAUAACAGGCUGAUCUUCCCCAAGAGUCCACAUCGACGGGAAGGUUUGGCACCUCGAUGUCGGCUCAUCGCCACCUGGAGCUGAAGGAGGUUCCAAGGGUUGGGCUGUUCGCCCAUUAAAGCGGUACGCGAGCUGGGUUCAGAACGUCGUGAGACAGUUCGGUCCAUAUCCGGUGUGAACGUUGGAGUAUUGAUGUUAAUUGUUCUUAGUACGAGAGGACCAGAAUGAACGCACCACUUGUGUACUAGUUAUUAUUCCAAUAGUAAACGCUAGGUAGCUAUGUGCGUAAUUAACAACUGCUGAAAGCAUAUAAGUAGUAAGUUUAAACAAAGAUGAGUG